GCAGCACGGAGCUUGCUCUGGUGGCGAGUGGCGAACGGGUGAGUAAUGCGUCGGAACGUAUCCAUAAUGGGGGAUAACGCAGCGAAAGCUGUGCUAAUACCGCAUACGCCCUCCGGGGGAAAGCAGGGGAUCUUAGGACCUUGCGUUAAUGGAGCGGCCGACGUCUGAUUAGCUAGUUGGUAGGGUAAAGGCCUACCAAGGCGACGAUCAGUAGCUGGUCUGAGAGGAUGAUCAGCCACACUGGGACUGAGACACGGCCCAGACUCCUACGGGAGGCAGCAGUGGGGAAUUUUGGACAAUGGGCGCAAGCCUGAUCCAGCCAUUCCGCGUGAGUGAAGAAGGCCUUCGGGUUGUAAAGCUCUUUCAGGAGGGAAGAAACGAUUGUGGCUAAUACCCAUGAUUAAUGACGGUACCUUCAGAAGAAGCACCGGCUAACUACGUGCCAGCAGCCGCGGUAAUACGUAGGGUGCGAGCGUUAAUCGGAAUUACUGGGCGUAAAGCGUGCGCAGGCGGUUUUUCAAGUCUGAUGUGAAAUCCCCGGGCUUAACCUGGGAACUGCGUUGGAAACUGAAAGACUAGAGUGCGGCAGAGGGGGGUAGAAUUCCACGUGUAGCAGUGAAAUGCGUAGAUAUGUGGAGGAAUACCGAUGGCGAAGGCAGCCCCCUGGGUCGACACUGACGCUCAUGCACGAAAGCGUGGGUAGCAAACAGGAUUAGAUACCCUGGUAGUCCACGCCCUAAACGAUGUCAACUAGUUGUUGGGGGAGGGAGACCUCCUUAGUAACGCAGCUAACGCGUGAAGUUGACCGCCUGGGGAGUACGGUCGCAAGAUUAAAACUCAAAGGAAUUGACGGGGGCCCGCACAAGCGGUGGAUUAUGUGGAUUANNUCGAUGCAACGCGAAAAACCUUACCUACCCUUGACAUGUACGGAACUUGCCNNAGAUGGCU
rnacentral:rRNA from 1 species